GACGAACGCUGGCGGCGUGCCUAAUACAUGCAAGUCGAACGCUUCUUUCCUCCCGAGUGCUUGCACUCAAUUGGAAAGAGGAGUGGCGGACGGGUGAGUAACACGUGGGUAACCUACCCAUCAGAGGGGGAUAACACUUGGAAACAGGUGCUAAUACCGCAUAACAGUUUAUGCCGCAUGGCAUAAGAGUGAAAGGCGCUUUCGGGUGUCGCUGAUGGAUGGACCCGCGGUGCAUUAGCUAGUUGGUGAGGUAACGGCUCACCAAGGCCACGAUGCAUAGCCGACCUGAGAGGGUGAUCGGCCACACUGGGACUGAGACACGGCCCAGACUCCUACGGGAGGCAGCAGUAGGGAAUCUUCGGCAAUGGACGAAAGUCUGACCGAGCAACGCCGCGUGAGUGAAGAAGGUUUUCGGAUCGUAAACUCUGUUGUUAGAGAAGAACAAGGACGUUAGUAACUGAACGUCCCCUGACGGUAUCUAACCAGAAAGCCACGGCUAACUACGUG
rnacentral:rRNA from 1 species